GGAGGUAUAGCUCAAGUGUUAGAGCACAUGCUUAGCAUGCAUGAGGUCCUGUGUUCAAUCCCCGGUACCGCCU
rnacentral:tRNA from 1 species